GUCCAGACUCCUACGGGAGGCAGCAGUGGGGGAUAUUGCACAAUGGGGGAAACCCUGAUGCAGCGACGCCGCGUGGGCGAAGAAGUAUUUCGGUAUGUAAAGCCCUAUCAGCAGGGAAGAAGAAAUGACGGUACCUGAGUAAGAAGCACCGGCUAAAUACGUGCCAGCAGCCGCGGUAAUACGUAUGGUGCAAGCGUUAUCCGGAUUUACUGGGUGUAAAGGGAGCGCAGGCGGCACGGCAAGCCUGAUGUGAAAGCCCGCGGCCCAACCCCGGGACUGCCCUUGGAACUGUGCGGCUAGAGUGCGGGAGGGGCAGGCGGAAUUCCUGGUGUAGCGGUGAAAUGCACAGAUAUCACGCAGAACCCCGAUUGCGAAGGCAGCCUUCCGGCGCCCUACUGACGCUGAGGCACGAAAGUGCGGGGAUCGAACAGGAUUAGAUACCCCGGUAA
rnacentral:rRNA from 1 species